ensembl:lncRNA
AGCAUGGCUACCUCAGCAUUCUGCAGAAAUACGCCAUCCCAUCUGGUUUGUGCUUAGUAAUCAUUUGUUUUCAACAGGAUAAUGACCCAACACACCUCCAUGCUGUGUAAGGGCUAUUUGACCAAAAAGGUGAGUAAUGGAGUGCUUCAUCAGAUGACCUGGCCACAAUCACCUGACCUCAACCCAUUGAGAUGGUUUGGGAUGAGUUGAACUGCAGAAUGAAGGAAAACCAGCCAACAAGUGCUCAGCAUAUGUGAGAACUCCUUCAGGACUGUUGGAAAAGCAUUCCAGGUGAAGCUGGUUGAGAGAAUGCCAAGAGUGCGCAAAGUUGUCAUCAAGGCAAAGGAAACCAUGGAUUACAGGCAACACCCACACUUUGCUAAAGGCCAGAGCUGCAGCUUUCAAGGAGGGGUAUUAAUCCGGACAAAUCCCACUCUGCCCUCCGACAAACCAUCAAGCAGGCAAAGCAUCAAUACAGGACCAAGAUCGAAUUCUAUUACACCGGCUCUGAUGCUCAUCGGACAUUGCAGGGUUUGAAAACUUUCAUGGAUUACAAAGGGAAACACAGCCGCAAGCUGUCCAGUGACGCGAGCCUACCAGAUGAGCUAAAUACCUUCUAUGCUCGCUUCGAGGCUAGGAACACUCAACCAUGCAUGAGAGCCCCAGCUGUUCCAGAUGACUGCGUGUACCCGCUCUCCAUAGCCAGUAUUCACAGAUGAUGCAAUCUCUAUUGCACUCCACAUGGCCCUUUCCCACCUGGACAAAAGGAAAACCUACGUGAAAAUGCUUUUCAUUGACUACAGCUCAGCGUGGUGAUAGUAGGCAUCAACACAUCUGCCACGUUGACCCUCAACACGUGGUCCCCUCAGGGUUGUGUGCUUAGUCCCCUCCUGUACUCCCUGUUCACCCACAACUGUGUGCACACAACUCUAACACUAUCCUUAAGUUUGUCCAAAAUACAAAGGUGAAGGGCCAGACUACAGUCGGGAAGUCAGAGACCUGGCAGUGUGGUGCCAGGAUAACAACCUCUCCCUCAACGUCAGCAAGACAAUGCGCUGUCGUUACUCAUUGUGUAUUUAUUCCUUUUGUUAUUAUUUUUCUAUUAUUUAACUUUUUCUCUCUGCGUUGUUAGGAAGGGCCCUUCAGUAAGCAUUUCACUGUUAGUCUACAGCUGUUGUGACAAAUAACAUUUGAUUUGAUAUUGUGUUAUUAACAAAUUGUGGAUUACUGAGUUAUCGUGUGUAUAUUUGACAUGACGUAACACACACACACACACAAACACACACACAAAGAAACACAUAACAAAUGCUUGAAUGGUUUGUCAUUCAUAUUGUUUUUGCUGAAAGACCUCUAUCCUUGACGUGAUGUUGGUGGUGGUAGCGAGGAUUUCCCUGCUUCACUUGGCUCCACUGAGGACUUACGAGAAGUGCGUCCCAAAUGGCACACAAUUCCCUAUAAAGUGCACUUCUUUUGACCAGGGCCCAUUGGGCUCACAUCAAAAGUAGUGGACUAUGUAGGGAAUAGGGUGCCAUUUGGGAUGCACACAACUAUCCCAAGUCAGGACCACUGACCUGCAAAAUCUAAAAUAGAAUAAUAGCCACUUGAAGCACAUAUUCCACAAAAGCAUCCACUCCAAUUGCUACAUUCUGCUGCUAAAUGUAUUGGAAUAUAAGGGAAACAUUUUACUUCCAAGAGC